UGCUGGAAUGCUUUAUGCGUCAAAUGGAUUCGUCUGCCCAAGGAUGGGUCUGCGGCCUAUCAGGUAGUAGUGGGUGUAAUGUACCUACUAGCCGACAACGGGUACGGGUUGUGAGAGCAAGAGCCCGGAGAUGGAUUCUGAGACAUGAAUCCAGGCCCUACGGGGCGCAGCAGGCGCGAAAACUUUACAAUGCGGGAAACCGUGAUAAGGGGACACCGAGUGUCAGCAUCAUAUGCUGGCUGUCCAGGUGUGUAAAAUACACCUGUUAGCAAGGGCCGGGCAAGACCGGUGCCAGCCGCCGCGGUAACACCGGCGGCCCGAGUGGUGAUCGUGAUUAUUGGGUCUAAAGGGUCCGUAGCCGGUUUGGUCAGUCCUCCGGGAAAUCUGAUAGCUCAACUAUUAGGCUAUCGGGGGAUACUACCAGACUUGGAACCGGGAGAGGUAAGAGGUACUACAGGGGUAGGAGUGAAAUCUUGUAAUCCCUGUGGGACCACCUGUGGCGAAGGCGUCUUACCAGAACGGGUUCGACGGUGAGGGACGAAAGCUGGGGGCACGAACCGGAUUAGAUACCCGGGUAGUCCCAGCCGUAAACGAUGCUCGCUAGGUGUCAGGCAUGGCGCGACCGUGUCUGGUGCCGCAGGGAAGCCGUGAAGCGAGCCACCUGGGAAGUACGGCCGCAAGGCUGAAACUUAAAGGAAUUGGCGGGGGAGCACAACAACGGGUGGAGCCUGCGGUUUAAUUGGACUCAACGCCGGACAACUCACCGGGGGCGACAGCAAUAUGUAGGCCAAGCUGAAGACUUUGCCUGAAUCGCUGAGAGGAGGUGCAUGGCCGUCGCCAGUUCGUACUGUGAAGCAUCCUGUUAAGUCAGGCAACGAGCGAGACCCGUGCCCACUGUUACCAGCAUAUUCUCCGGAAUGAUGGGUACUCUGUGGGGACCGCCUAUGUUAAAUAGGAGGAAGGUGCGGGCCACGGUAGGUCAGUAUGCCCCGAAUCUCCCGGGCUACACGCGGGCUACAAUGGAUGGGACAAUGGGUCCCUCCCCCGAAAGGGGCUGGUAAUCUCACAAACCCAUUCGUAGUUCGGAUCGAGGGCUGUAACUCGCCCUCGUGAAGCUGGAAUCCGUAG
rnacentral:rRNA from 1 species